rnacentral:rRNA from 1 species
UACGGAGGGUGCAAGCAUUGAUCGGAAUUACUGGGCGUAAAGGGCGCGUAGGCGGUCAGGAAAGUCAGAUGUGAAAUUCUAGGGCUCAACCCCAGGGCUGCAUUUGAAACUUCCUAUCUAGAGUUCAGUUAGGGAAAACGGAAUUCCACGUGUAGCGGUGAAAUGCGUAGAUAUGUGGAAGAACACCAGUGGUGAAGACGGUUUACUGGGCUGAUACUGACGCUGAGGCGCGAAAGCAUGGGGAGCAAACAGG